UCCUUGGACUUUGGACUUCUCAGCCUCCAAAACUCCCAGUGCCAGCAAGAAAGCAGUCCUGUCUCGGGAAGUCACAUCAUCUCGCCAAGCCUCCACUCGCUCUUCUGUGAGUGUAGGAGUGUAUUAAUACCUAACUUGCUGAUAGCACUACCAUGAAGAGUGACAGAGGUCAUGCGAGAGUGCUCUCCCAGGGCUUGCCAUAGGAUGGGGGACUUGAGGCUUUCCCCUUCCCUUCCUCCCACCUCCCUCUCUCCCUUAUGUGUCAUCAACAUGAGAUGAAACUGAUGCUGCCACCACUAGGUCUUGUCUCCUGGGUGGUGAUGUCAAGGCUGGUGAUUGGGAAUUGGAGCCCAUCACUCCUUCCGGACAGAAGUUCACCCCUGGAGAAGUUGGGUGACUGUGCUGCUUCUCACACGCCCCCCACCCACUACAUCAACCUGACUGAAGAAAGAGCUUAUGUGCAGGUUAAGUUGCUCCCUGCUUUUGCCUAGUUUGCAAAAUAUUACAUUUCCUUAGCUCUAGAGGAACAGAAAGAUCAACCCUUUUACUAUGAAAAUAACUUGAGCUGUCAAUUUCCAUUAUAAUGUGUCUUAAAUGACCUCCUUACCUUCUGAAUUCCUUACUUAGUCUUUGGAUCUCAGUGUCCUCAUUUAAAAUGGAGAUGAUAGUAUUUACUUCCACCCGGCUGUCUGAGGACCAAAUGGGGGCUUUCUAAACCAUUAAACUUAUUCUAAUGUUUAA